rnacentral:rRNA from 1 species
GACGAACGCUGGCGGCGUGCUUAACACAUGCAAGUCGAACGGUGAAGCCCUAGCUUGCUGGAGUGGACCAGUGGCGAACGGGUGAGUAACACGUGAGUAACCUGCCCCUGACUCUGGGAUAAGUGCUGGAAACGGCGUCUAAUACUGGAUACGAGAUGGGUCUGCAUGGGCACUUUUGGGAAAGUUCGGCGGUUGGGGAUGGGCUCGCGGCCUAUCAGCUUGUUGGUGGGGUAAUGGCUCACCAAGGCGACGACGGGUAGCCGGCCUGAGAGGGCGACCGGCCACACUGGGACUGAGACACGGCCCAGACUCCUACGGGAGGCAGCAGUGGGGAAUAUUGCACAAUGGGCGGAAGCCUGAUGCAGCGACGCCGCGUGAGGGAUGACGGCCUUCGGGUUGUAAACCGCUUUCAGCAGGGAAGAAGCGAGAGUGACGGUACCUGCAGAAGAAGCACCGGCUAACUACGUG